UGGGGAAUAUUGGACAAUGGGCGAAAGCCUGAUCCAGCAAUGCCGCGUGUGUGAAGAAGGCCUUCGGGUUGUAAAGCACUUUUGUCCGGAAAGAAAUCCUCUGGGUUAAUACCUCGGGGGAUGACGGUACCGGAAGAAUAAGCACCGGCUAACUACGUGCCAGCAGCCGCGGUAAUACGUAGGGUGCAAGCGUUAAUCGGAAUUACUGGGCGUAAAGCGUGCGCAGGCGGUUUUGUAAGACGGAUGUGAAAUCCCCGGGCUUAACCUGGGAACUGCAUUCGUGACUGCAAGGCUAGAGUAUGGCAGAGGGGGGUAGAAUUCCACGUGUAGCAGUGAAAUGCGUAGAGAUGUGGAGGAAUACCGAUGGCGAAGGCAGCCCCCUGGGCCAAUACUGACGCUCAUGCACGAAAGCGUGGGGGGCAAACAGGAUUAGAUACCCUGGUAGUCCACGCCCUAAACGAUGUCAACUAGUUGUUGGGGAUUCAUUUCCUUAGUAACGUAGCUAACGCGUGAAGUUGACCGCCUGGGGAGUACGGUCGCAAGAUUAAAACUCAAAUGAAUUGACGGGGUCAUAGCUGUUUCCU
rnacentral:rRNA from 1 species